AAAGGAAUUGACGGGGACCCGCACAAGCAGCGGAGCAUGUGGUUUAAUUCGAAGCAACGCGAAGAACCUUACCAGGACUUGACAUCCCUCUGACAGGACUUUAACAGGUUCCUUCUUCGGACAGAGGAGACAGGUGGUGCAUGGUUGUCGUCAGCUCGUGUCGUGAGAUGUUGGGUUAAGUCCCGCAACGAGCGCAACCCUUGUCAAUAGUUGCCAGCAGUAAGAUGGGCACUCUAUUGAGACUGCCGUGGAUAACACGGAGGAAGGUGGGGAUGACGUCAAAUCAUCAUGCCCCUUAUGUUCUGGGCUACACACGUGCUACAAUGGCUGGUACAGAGAGAAGCAAGACCGUGAGGUGGAGCAAAUCUAUAAAACCAGUCCCAGUUCGGAUUGCAGGCUGCAACUCGCCUGCAUGAAGUUGGAGUUGCUAGUAAUCGCAGAUCAGAAUGCUGCGGUGAAUGCGUUCCCGGGUCUUGUACACACCGCCCGU
rnacentral:rRNA from 1 species